rnacentral:rRNA from 1 species
ACGAACGCUGGCGGCGUGCCUAAUACAUGCAAGUAGAACGCUGAAGAGAGGAGCUUGCUCUUCUUGGAUGAGUUGCGAACGGGUGAGUAACGCGUAGGUAACCUGCCUUGUAGCGGGGGAUAACUAUUGGAAACGAUAGCUAAUACCGCAUAACAAUGGAUGACCCAUGUCAUUUAUUUGAAAGGGGCAAAUGCUCCACUACAAGAUGGACCUGCGUUGUAUUAGCUAGUAGGUGAGGUAACGGCUCACCUAGGCGACGAUACAUAGCCGACCUGAGAGGGUGAUCGGCCACACUGGGACUGAGACACGGCCCAGACUCCUACGGGAGGCAGCAGUAGGGAAUCUUCGGCAAUGGGGGCAACCCUGACCGAGCAACGCCGCGUGAGUGAAGAAGGUUUUCGGAUCGUAAAGCUCUGUUGUAAGUCAAGAACGAGUGUGAGAGUGGAAAGUUCACACUGUGACGGUAGCUUACCAGAAAGGGACGGCUAACUACGUGCCAGCAGCCGCGGUAAUACGUAGGUCCCGAGCGUUGUCCGGAUUUAUUGGGCGUAAAGCGAGCGCAGGCGGUUUGAUAAGUCUGAAGUUAAAGGCUGUGGCUCAACCAUAGUUCGCUUUGGAAACUGUCAAACUUGAGUGCAGAAGGGGAGAGUGGAAUUCCAUGUGUAGCGGUGAAAUGCGUAGAUAUAUGGAGGAACACCGGUGGCGAAAGCGGCUCUCUGGUCUGUAACUGACGCUGAGGCUCGAAAGCGUGGGGAGCGAACAGGAUUAGAUACCCUGGUAGUCCACGCCGUAAACGAUGAGUGCUAGGUGUUGGAUCCUUUCCGGGAUUCAGUGCCGCAGCUAACGCAUUAAGCACUCCGCCUGGGGAGUACGACCGCAAGGUUGAAACUCAAAGGAAUUGACGGGGGCCCGCACAAGCGGUGGAGCAUGUGGUUUAAUUCGAAGCAACGCGAAGAACCUUACCAGGUCUUGACAUCCUUUGACCACUCUAGAGAUAGAGCUUCCCCUUCGGGGGCAAAGUGACAGGUGGUGCAUGGUUGUCGUCAGCUCGUGUCGUGAGAUGUUGGGUUAAGUCCCGCAACGAGCGCAACCCCUAUUGUUAGUUGCCAUCAUUCAGUUGGGCACUCUAGCGAGACUGCCGGUAAUAAACCGGAGGAAGGUGGGGAUGACGUCAAAUCAUCAUGCCCCUUAUGACCUGGGCUACACACGUGCUACAAUGGUUGGUACAACGAGUUGCGAGUCGGUGACGGCAAGCUAAUCUCUUAAAGCCAAUCUCAGUUCGGAUUGUAGGCUGCAACUCGCCUACAUGAAGUCGGAAUCGCUAGUAAUCGCGGAUCAGCACGCCGCGGUGAAUACGUUCCCGGGCCUUGUACACACCGCCCGUCACACCACGAGAGUUUGUAACACCCGAAGUCGGUGAGGUAACCUUUUGGAGCCAGCCGCCUAAGGUGGGAUAGAUGAUUGGGGUG